GAAGGGGAUCAUAGAACUUGCAAAUGAAGAUGACUCGACUCUUACCCCAUCUCUUAUCCAAAAAGGGCUCCAAGUCUCUGAGGAUCCAGAGCACAACACCUGCAAGAUCAAAUGUGAUGUUGUAAUUAUAGGUUCUGGCUGCGGUGGAGGGGUUGCAGCUGCAGUGCUUGCAAACUCAGGUCAGAAAGUACUCGUCCUAGAGAAAGGGAACUACUACGUACCAGCAGAUUAUUCUUCAUUAGAAUGGCCUUCCAUGGCUGAACUUUAUGAGUCUAGUGGUUUUCUAUCAACUCUAAAUGGGAGAAUCAUGAUAUUGGCUGG
rnacentral:lncRNA from 1 species